GUCAAAUUUAAUGAAUAGUCAAGAUAAGUAUGUACUUGUUGGGUUGGCAAAAUUUUGCAAAAUUGUUAUGUCUGUAUUUAAAUGAUAAUAUAUGGAUAUUACUCUUUCAUCUGCAUACACCUAUUUCAUAUGUAUAUAUGUUAGUUCAUGCAUUACUAUUGUUUGUUAAAUUUAUUGUACUAUUAUGCCUCAUGUGAGGCCUUUAGUGAAAUAAAAAGUUUCAAAAGUUUCAA
rnacentral:lncRNA from 1 species